rnacentral:rRNA from 1 species
GGAAUGCGUAGAUAUCGGGAGGAACACCAGUGGCGAAGGCGGCCUACUGGGCACCAACUGACGCUGAGGCUCGAAAGUGUGGGUAGCAAACAGGAUUAGAUACCCUGGUAGUCCACACAGUAAACGAUGAAUACUCGCUGUUUGCGAUAUACAGUAAGCGGCCAAGCGAAAGCAUUAAGCAUCCCACCUGGGGAGUACGCCGGCAACGGUGAAACUCAAAGGAAUUGACGGGGGCCCGCACAAGCGGAGGAACAUGUGGUUUAAUUCGAUGAUACGCGAGGAACCUUACCCGGGCUUGAAUUGCAACUGAAUGAUGUGGAGACAUGUCAGCCGCAAGGCAGUUGUGAAGGUGCUGCAUGGUUGUCGUCAGCUCGUGCCGUGAGGUGUCGGCUUAAGUGCCAUAACGAGCGCAACCCUUAUCUUUAGUUACUAACAGGUUAUGCUGAGGACUCUAGAGAGACUGCCGUCGUAAGAUGUGAGGAAGGUGGGGAUGACGUCAAAUCAGCACGGCCCUUACGUCCGGGGCUACACACGUGUUACAAUGGCAGGUACAGAGAGAUGGUGUUCUGCAAAGCGCAUCUAAUCCUUAAAGCCUGUCUCAGUUCGGACUGGGGUCUGCAACCCGACCCCACGAAGCUGGAUUCGCUAGUAAUCGCGCAUCAGCCAUGGCGCGGUGAAUACGUUCCCGGGCCUUGUACACACCGCCCGUCAAGCCAUGGAAGCCGCGGGCGCCUGAAGUCCGUGACCGAGAGGAGCGGCCUAG